GAAAGGAUAAAAAGAAGAAAAGGAGAAGAAAAUUUCAUUUUUUCUUUUCUUCUUCUUCUUCUCUUCCCUUCACCGCCAAGAUUUUGAAGACAUCCAAGUUCCAUUUUUUUUUUCUUUUUCCUUCUUCAAUUUGCAGAGAACUUCUAAGAGAGAGUUUGAAAGAAGAAGAGAAAUUUUACUAGAAUUUUUAGGUUGAAGAAGAGGAGGAGAACUCAAGCAAAGUGUAUCAAUGGCUGAAUUUUAGUUCAUUCUGCACAUCACUGGUUUUUAAUUCGGUUUGAACUCUUCAAAUGGAAUUAAGAGGGACAAGUUAAAGAGGUCGUGUGCGCGCGAUUCUGGAAGUGGUUCUGUUUUGAGGGUUAUAUGUAUUUAUGCACGGGGAAUCAGAUUUAUAUGUCUUCAGGCCGAGAAGAAUUAAACCGAGCUUAUAGACCAAGGAUCUAGCCCAAGACUGUGAGUGACAAAACCAACUUUGAAAUAUUUUCCAUAAUUGUUAUUAUGAUUGAAUGCGAUAAAUGUUUAUUUACGAAGCCAUGAAAAGUAUUUGAAUUUCAUGACUAUUUUCAAGUAUACAUUUGGAGACUAGAUUUCUUAAAGAAAUUUAUGCUAGCACGUAGAUAUUAAAUGUUUGGAAAGUAUUUAAACCACAAUAUUUUAAGCAAAGCAUGAAUUAGUAUGAAGUUUUGUUUUAAGAUCUACAAUUUUCCACGAAAGAGCUGAGUAAAGUUUGAGCUUUGUGUAAAAUUUAUAAGCAGGCAUGUUUUAAUAUUUAAAGAUGAUUUAUGAAAUUUUCAUUAACUACAUGACUGAGAUCUUGAGCCUGAGGCUAGAGAUUACCGUGUGCACACUAGUUAGAUUCCGUUGUUGACGUUGAGUGUACUCCGUAACAACGAUGUUGUCGUGAGUGCUGGGCAAGCCCCACUACGACAAAGAUGAUGGGAGUGCUGGGCGGGCCCCACUACAUCGUAGUGCUUGUAAACGUUGUUGUACUAGGUGUACCCUACACAACGUAGAUUCGUCAUGUUAGUUAAAAUGCUUCGAUAUACUUGAUAUGCCUUGCUAGAUUUCAAUGAUGAACAUGCUGAGUAUUUAAGGAAGCUAUUCUUACUACUACACAUUUACAUUUGCGACUUGUAUAAACAGAUUUAUAUGUGUAAAGUUUUCACGUGCUCUUAUCUUUAAAUUCAUAGUUUUAAACUGAGUCACUCACUGAGCUUCAUAGCUCACCCUUUCCAAAAUGUUUUACCCAUUUUCCAGGUAGAGAUCGACUUCCUGGUGCCUGAUAGACUGCCUUAGUCUGCGGAAGCUUCAUUAUCGAUUGCCAGUACGUGUUUUGAGUUGGGCAUAGAGUCUGUUGUGUUGUGGUGUAUAUACACCCUUGUAUGUUAUAGAUACUCCACAGUUUGUAUAAGCUUUAGGAGCUGUAGUUGUGUAAAUUUUGUUGGUUAUAUUUUGAUUAUGGUGUCUUUAGGUUUACUCGUGAAAUCGGUAAAUUUUGAGGUACGCUUCAUGUAUGUGUUUGACUAGCCUAGGAUCCGCUGUGUUUUGUGGGAUGUACAAUAGUUUAUAUACUAGAUUGGCAAGUUCAUCACAUGAAA